AUCGAACGCUGGCGGCAUGCCUUACACAUGCAAGUCGAACGGCAGCACGGGAGCAAUCCUGGUGGCGAGUGGCGAACGGGUGAGUAAUAUAUCGGAACGUGCCCAGUAGUGGGGGAUAGCCCGGCGAAAGCCGGAUUAAUACCGCAUGAGACCUGAGGGUGAAAGCGGGGGAUCGCAAGACCUCGCGCUAUUGGAGCGGCCGAUAUCAGAUUAGCUAGUUGGUGGGGUAAAGGCCUACCAAGGCAACGAUCUGUAGUUGGUCUGAGAGGGCGACCAGCCACACUGGGACUGAGACACGGCCCAGACUCCUACGGGAGGCAGCAGUGGGGAAUUUUGGACAAUGGACGCAAGCCUGAUUCAGCAAUGCCGCGUGCAGGAAGAAGGCCUUCGGGUUGUAAACUGCUUUUGUCAGGGAAGAAAUCCCUUGGGAUAAUACCUCGGGGGGAUGACGGUACCUGAAGAAUAAGCACCGGCUAACUACGUGCCAGCCGCCGCAGUAACAC
rnacentral:rRNA from 1 species